rnacentral:rRNA from 1 species
CCCUUAGAUGUCCGGGGCCGCACGCGCGCUACACUGAUGCAUGCAACGAGUUUAUAACCUUGGCCUGAAAGGUCUGGGUAAUCUUUUGAACGUGCAUCGUGAUAGGGAUAGAUUAUUGCAAUUGUUAAUCUUGAACGAGGAAUUCCUAGUAAACGCGAGUCAUCAGCUCGCAUUGAUUACGUCCCUGCCCUUUGUACACACCGCCCGUCGCACCUACCGAUUGAAUGGUUCGGUGAAGAUCUCGGACUUCGAUAUUUAUUCUUUAUUGAGUUUAUAUUGUGGGAAGUUAUCUAAACCUCAUCAUUUAGAGGAAGGUGAAGUCGUAACA